GGCAAAAAGAAAUUGAAAAUGUAUAUUCAUGUGUUGUAGGCAAUUGAAGAACAAAGAUGAGGAUAGAGUAGUUAAGAACAAUGAAGGUCUGCCUCAGCCAUUUUUGCGAAGCUGCAAUGAUCGUGCAAGGCAGCUCCAGGCUUCUUCUUCAGGUCUUUUCCCAUGUUUAAAGGUAGCAAAGAGUCAGACUCUGUGAAGGUUGCUAGAGGAGUUAAAGCUGUUUCCAGGAGGACACAGUCAUUGGUUGAGAGGUUUGAGAGAAGAGACACAAUUACACUUCCGGAAGAAAGAUAAAGCAGCAAUAGUUCAGAGCACUAAUGCUGUGGAGAAAGUGGCCAAAUCAUCAUCGAUACGAGCAGUUAGCAUAACGCCUACCCAGGUCAUGGAAGUUGAACUUGAUGAGGCAACUAACUUGACCACAGUUGAAACUCCUGUGAUAUUUAUUGCAAGAGCUAAUUGUAAUAUCCAGCUGUUUUUAAUCAACAAUGCAGUUCUCUGCAACUU